AUGGGAAAAAGUCUGGAACAAAAGUUGCUAAGAGCCCUAGGGAAAUUGCCUAUCUGCUCAAUUGUACUUGCCCAACAUGAGGCCACGAGUGUUCCAGAAGCAGUAGAAGCAACUGGCCAGGGGAACACUUCCCAUUUCUCUCAUGUGGAGGAGAGGUACCAUGAAUUCAUGCGUGUUAGUGGGAAGACAACCAAUGCACUAGAAAUCAAUGUUCUAGAUGUGAGUGAGCUGUUUGCAAGCGUAAGGGUAAUUGAAUAUAGCAAAUACUUUGUCACGGUCAGGGAGCUCGCAAACUCAAUGAAGAAGGAAGGUUUUGUCUUGAGCCAUGUAAUGGAAGUUGGUAUACAGAAUAUAAUGAUGAACUUGCCACCAGACUCAAAGAAGCUCGUGAUGCCCGUCAGGUUCUCGGUUCAGAUGCUAAACAUGGAAUUGAACGGCAAGGAGCUCAUUUCCCGAUUCAAGAAGUCGAAUCGCUUGGACCGUAAAGACAUGAUUAUGUUCCUAGUGUUAGAGAACAUCGACAAGACAAAACCUAAAACAGGCAAUCAUUACUGGAUUUUUAACGUGAACAUAAGGGAUCGACGUUUUGAAACUCUUGAUUCUUGGAGGACGCUCAAAAACAAGUCUUCAGAUGUUUGCGCAAGGAAAAUGGUUGGAAGUUUUCGGUCUCUAUGGGAAGAGCAUUAUGCCAGUUCCCGCGUCUCGCUGGAUGAGUUUGGGCUUACCAACAUCGACGUUCCAUAA
rnacentral:rRNA from 1 species